GUGUUGGACACUAAGACAAACACAUAGGUGCUCUAAAAAGGUAAUCGAGUACACUGAACGACGAUCAAAAGAGAGUUCGAACAUACAUGUCAUGUAUGAACUCUAAAGUUACAAUAUGCAAAGUAGUCCUUUGACCUGAGGCAUCAUAGAUGUCUAAUGAUUAGGUCCUUGAUCUUUGAUCAUGUCAACGGCAUUCCUUCGGAUUGUCCACGGCAUUGUUGGGGUCAAGCUAUCUAGUCAUGUAGGCAUAUGAAUGCACAACAAGGGAUCUCUAACCUUCCAUGGUGGAGGGAGAAUACUCUAAGAUAUGAUUCUAAAGUCUUUGGCCAAAUCAAAUGAAUAUGACUUAGGAAGUUUGUUCCAAAUCAUAUUCAAAUGAAUCAUAUAGGAAAGUAUCACAUUGGAUAGUAGACAUGAAACAAACUAUCACUUAAACAAUGUGAUUA
rnacentral:lncRNA from 1 species